ensembl:snRNA U6 U6 spliceosomal RNA
GAACUAGCUUCAGCAGUGCACAUACUAAAAUUAGAACAAUAGAGAGAAUAGUAGCAAGUCCCCUGUGCAAGGAUGAAUUGUUCCAUAUGGUUAGCCACACAGGGUGGU